rnacentral:misc_RNA from 1 species
GAUGAAGAACGCAGCGAAAUGCGAUAAUUAAUGUGAAUUGCAGAAUUCAGUGAAUCAUCGAAUCUUUGAACGCACAUUGCGCCCUCUGGUAUUCCGGGGGGCAUGCCUGUUCGAGCGUCAUUAUAACCACUCAAGCUCUCGCUUGGUAUUGGGGUUCGCGGUUUCGCGGCCCCUAAAAUCAGUGGCGGUGCCUGUCGGCUCUACGCGUAGUAAUACUUCUCGCGAUUGAGUUCGAUAGGUCUACUUGCCAGUAACCCCCAAUUUUUACAGGUUGACCUCGGAUCAGGUAGGGAUACCCGCUGAACUUAAGCAUAUCAAUAAGCGGAGGA